rnacentral:rRNA from 1 species
UACGGAGGGUGCAAGCGUUGUUCGGAAUUAUUGGGCGUAAAGCGCGUGUAGGCGGUUUCUUAAGUCUGAUGUGAAAGCCCCGGGCUCAACCUGGGAAGUGCAUUGGAUACUGGGAGACUUGAGUACGGGAGAGGGUAGUGGAAUUCCCAGUGUAGGAGUGAAAUCCGUAGAUAUUGGGAGGAACACCGGUGGCGAAGGCGGCUGCCUGGACCGAUACUGACGCUGAGACGCGAAAGCGUGGGGAGCAAACAGG